UACGGAGGGUGCGAGCGUUGUCCGGAAUCACUUGGGCGUAAAGGGCGCGUAGGCGGCGCGGAUAGUCGGCGGUGAAAGCCCGGAGCUCAACUCCGGGUCGGCCGUCGAUACUUCCGGGCUUGAGCAGCUGUAGAGGCAGGAUGGAAUUCCGGGUGGUAGCGGUGGAAUGCGUAGAGAUCCGGAAGAACACCGGUGGCGAAGGCGGUCUGCUGGGCGAGUUGCUG
rnacentral:rRNA from 1 species